CAGAAAAAUGUUGUGGUAAAGACAAAUGAUGGCAGGUGCUGAGGAGGAGAAAGCUGCUUUAAAAUGGAUGGUUAGUGCAGGUGCCUUGAUUAGGUGACAGUGUAGUCCAGGAACAUGGGAAGAAGGCUGUAGGAGGCACAGAGAACAAUGGCCUUGUGGUAGCAAAUAACUUAGUGUAUUCUUGGAACUAUGAGAAAAUCAACUUGGAUGAAGCAUGGUGAACUAAGAAAGGGGACACGCUAGGCUCUAAUAGGGCCCUAGUAAGUGUUUGCUUAGUGAAUGAGUAAAUAGAUGAGUGAAAGAUUUUUGUAGUCUUAAUUCUGGCCAGUCCUUAUUGCAGAUAAAGAGUAAUGAUGAAUCAGGGAUAGAUAUCAUUGAGGGUGAUGGGCCAACUGGUCAACUCAGAGACUCUAAAGCAGCAUCUCAGUUGGUGCCUAAAUUUUAAGCUUCAUGCUACAGACCCAGAAGUUUGAUUUCAGUAUAUCAACAGUGGUCUAAUACCUUGAGGAGGAACUUAUUCCAACCAAACACACAGGGACUGAUGUAUUAAUUCAGAAUGCUGAUCAAUUUACAUUGAGAUCUUAUUUUCUAAUGACCAAAAUACCAUAUUAAUGUAUGUUGUAGGGAGCAUUCCUUUUUCCAGCGUGAGGGUACUGGCAAAUUGAAUUAGUAACCAGAAGCUCGCUCAGUAAAUUUAGAAGAGGAUCAAGAUCUUUGGGAGUAUUUUGUGUGGGUCAAGUUGAUGGUGGAUGACAUAUCCUUGCUCCACAGUGAAGAAUAAUAUUACAAGUGCAUGUAUUUUUUUGUAGGUCGUUUUUUUCUGAUUAUAAAAUAACAGGUGAAUACCUUAGAAAAUAACAAUUCUGUACAGAGGAGGCCAUUGUUAAUAUUUGUAGUUCUCUACAUCAAGAUCAUGAAGAUAAUCUAUAUAAACUUUUACUUGCUUUUUAUUUUACUUUUGCUUUUCACAUUUUGGUUUUAAUACAUUUGAAGUCCACAUUUGGAGAUUAUGUGAGGUAAGGAUCCAACUUAAUAUUUUCCAGGGAGUAUACCAAUUUUCCUAUCAUCAUUUCCAAAAUAUUUAUCCUUUCUCCACUGGCUUGUGAUAUGACCUGUAUCAUACACCAGGUUUUCAUAUGGGUCUCUUUCUCAGCUUUUAAAUUCUAUUCCAUUAGUCUUUGAUCAUAUGCAGUGUUUUUCUUAUUGUGAUUUUUGUACUAUGCCUUAAUUUUUUAAUAAUGCCUUUUAGUUGGAUGGUAAUUAUCCUGGGUUUUCUAUGUGGAUUAUCAGGUCAGCUUCAAAUAAUGAACACCCUCUCUUCUCUUCCAAUUGUUUUGACUUGUUUCUUCUUGUCUUAUAUUAGCCAGAAUGUCAUAUAGCAUAUUGAACAGUAGCUAUGGUGGUGGCGUUUUUAUCUUAUUGGACUUAAAAAGAAAUACAUCAAACGUUUCUCCAUUAAUUAUGAUGUUUGCUAUAGGGCAUUGAUAGCCUUCAAAAAGUUAAGAAAGUUCUUUUCUUUCUAGCCUUCAAGGUUAAAAAGUUUUUAAAAAUCUUAAUUGAAUGUGAACUUUAUCAAAUGCCUUUCUUAUGUCUAUUGAGAUAAUCAUGUAUUUUCUUCUUUAAUACAUUCCUGUGGUGAAAUAUGUUAAUAGGUUUUCUGAUAUUAAAUUAUCUUUGCAUUUCUAGAAUAAAACCUAAUAAGUAUUAUUAGGGUUAUUUUUCUCAAACCCCUGAUUGGAUUCUGUUAGCUCAUAUUUUAUUGAGUGGAUUUCCUUCUAUGUUUGUUAGUGAAAUUGGCCUAUAAUUUUCUUUGCUGUCCUCAUCUGAUAGUUUUAAAGAUUGUGUCAAACUGAAAAAUGAAUUGGGUAGUUUCCACAAUUUUUCUAAUUUUGGCUAAAUUUAUAUAACAUAGAAAUGCUCUGUUUCAGUUCAGUGGGACACCCUGUAAGAUCGUUGGGUAACACUAUUUCAGUUUUUCAUGGUUGUCUAUUCAAGUUUCCUAUUUUAUGUUAUGCUAAUUUUAUUGGUAAUAUAAUUUUUCAUUCUAUUUAUUGUAGGUUUUCAAAAAUAUUUGGCUAUAGGCGUUUUAUAAUAAAACUACUUUUAAAGUCUUUAUUAUAGCUAUAAUUUGUUCCCUUAUUUAAGUAUAUUUUGUUUGCUUGCAUUCUGUUGUUAUUUUGUUGAACUGUUAUUUCCUGAGGUUAUCAGCAAUAAUCUUUUUCUAGAAGAAGCUUCUGAUAGUAUUAACCUUUUUUUUUUCUAUACCAUUCCAUUAUUUUUUCUUGGGUUCUACCUUUUAUUAUUUUCUUUCUUUUUGUUCCUUUGGGUGUGCUCUGUCUCUUGCUUGUGUCUUCAGUUGUGCUUAGUUAUUUUUCAGCUUUUCCUAUUUUCUAAUACAUGUAUUGAGAACGAAUAAUUUCCCUCUAACAAACUUGUCCUAAUGAGUGUACACAUACAGCACUGUCUCCACCAAGUUGAAGAUAAACCUUCUUUUCAGGCACAUGAUAAAGAAUUAUAACAAAUAUUAGUAAAUUGGAAUCAUUCAAUGUUAUGAGAACAAUGCAAUUAAGCUAUGACUCAACAAUUAAAGAGUAACUUGAAAAAUUUUAUAUGGUUUCAAAUAAAAUUCAGGUCACAAAACAAUUUAAAUAGCAAUUAGAAAAUAUUUUAAACUGAAGGAUCAUGGAAACGCUACAGAUAAAAACUUUUAGGGUGCAGCUAAACAGGACUUUGAGGGAAAAUUAUAGCUGUAAAUCCUAUAUUAGGAAGGAAUAAAAGUGAAGAGAAUGUUAAAGUCAUGAGCAAAAAUUAAUGAAAUAGAAAAUGAAUAUUCAGUAGACAGUGUUCAGUAGAGAAUAGCAAGUAAGCUAAAAGGAAUAAUAAAACUGAAACUUUUGGCAAGAUGGCUGAAGGAAAAAGAAGACUUAUAACCAGUAUCAGGAAUGAAAAAGACUCAAGUGCUGCAAACAGGGAAAAGAUAAGAAAAUAAAGUGAACAACACAUAACAUCAGGCUACAGUAUGACAACCAUUUCAUACCUAUUCCAAUGUCAAAAAUCAAAGGUCUGACAGUACCAAGAGUUGGAGAGGAUGUGAAUCAGCCGUAUCACACAGUUUGUUGGUGGGAAUGUAUAUUGGUGCCGCCAUUUUAUGAGACAGUUUGGCAUGAUCUUAAUAGUUAACCAUUUGUAUGCUCAUCUGCCAAGCACAUCCACCUCUGGGUUCAGGAGAAACUUGAAAAUAUAUGCUAGGAGAAAUGUACAAAAAGUUCAUAGCAGCAUUAUUUGAUAAAGCAGAAACUUGGAAAUGAUUCAGAUGCCCAUGGACAGGGGAAUGGAUAAAGCACAUUCUCAAGUGAAUAUUAUAUGGCUACAAAAUGAUUGAACAACAUCUGUAUUCAAAAAUUCUGCUACAUAAAAUUGAGUGAAAUAAUUAAGUUCCAAAAGGUCAAAUAUGCUUAAUAUUCAAAGAGCAACUUAAACUAAGCCACAUACUCUUCAGGAAUAUAUCUAUAUGUGUGUGCAUAUCUAUUAUUUAUAGAGAGACAUAUAGAUAUAUGAUGAGUGAUUGCAAGAUUCAGGAAAUAUUUUGAGUGUGGGAGGUGGGGGAUGGGAUGGAGGGAAGAUCACAUAGCUGUAUAAAAAUGUCAGUUUUCUAGUUCCUAUAUUGGGUUCACAGUGUUUAUUAUUAAAAAAAAUAAAACAUGGCUUGUAUGAACCAAUGAUCGGAGUGUUACAAAGAAAGGGUUUUGAGGCUGGGCAUAGUGGCUCACGCCUGUUAUCUCAGCAGUUUGGGAGGCCGAGGCAGGCAGAUCACCUGAGUUCAGGAGUUUGAGACCAGCCUGGCCAACGUGGCGAAACCCCGUCUCUACUAAAAAUACAAAAAUUAGCUGGGUGUGGCGGUGUGUGCCUGUAAUCCCAGCUACUUGGGAGGCUGAGGUAGGAGAAUUGCUUGAACCCAGGAGGUGGAGGUUGCAGUGAGCCAUGAUUGGGCCACUGCAUUCCAGCCUGGGAGACAGAGCGAGACUCCAUCUCAAAAAAAAAAAAAAAAAAAAAAGGAUUUUGAACUCAAUAAAUAUUAAAACAUCAAAUUAACAUAUUCACAUUCUAAGGGAGAAAAAUCGUAUGAUCAUCUUAAUAGAUGCAGGAAAUCAUUUGUUAGACGUCACCAUCCAUUUGUGACUAAAGGAAAAAGCAAACAAAUUAGGAAUACAAGGCAAUUUACUUAAACCUGGCAAGGGGUAUCUACAGACAAUACUGCAGACAUCAAACAUCAUUCUUAAUGGUGCAAGUUCAUAGCAUUCCCAAGACUGAGGAACUUGUCAAGGAUGGCUACUACCAAUUCUGUUGGUCAUCAUACUGGAGCUAGCCCACAUAGUCAAUAAAGAAAUUAAAGAUGUUAGGACUGGGGCAAGUAAUAAAACUCCUCCAUAAUUGAUUCGAUUAUCUACAUGGAACAUCCAAAAGAACUGUAUACAUAUUUACAUUUGUUGUUUUUUUUUUUUUCUCAGACAGGGUCUUGCUCUGUUGCCCAGGCUGGAGUGGAGUGGCACAAACAUGGCCUCACUAUAGCCUCCAUGUCUUGGGCUCAAGCGAUCCUCCUGCCUCAGCCUCCAGAGUACCUGGGACCACAGGCACACCACUAUGCUUGACAAAUUUUUUAAUUUUUUGUAGAGACGGGGUCUCGGCGUGUUUCCCAGACUGAAAAUAUUUUUUAGAAAUAAGAAUUUGGCAAGUUAGUUGGAUAUGAAAAUCACUACUGACCAUCCUCAACCUACAAUGGUUUGACUUAAUUUUUUGACAUUAUAAUGGGUUUAUUGUGGUAUUAAAUGCAUUUUUGACUCAUGAUAUUUUCACAUUACUUUAGGUUUAUCAGGACAUAACCCCAUUGUAAUUCAAUAGUAUGUAAUCUGCAUACAAAAAUCAGUUGCAUUUUAAUAUACCAGCAGAUAUCAGUUAAAAAUGAAAAUUUAAAAAUAUACCAUUUACAAUAGCAUAGAAAAAUAUGAAAUACAUAGGAAUGAAUUUAAAAAGCUAUACACACAUGUACACAUGAGCACAUAGCAUAAUGGAAAUGACUAAUAAAUUCAGUUGCAUUAAUAUGAAGAAUUUCUUCUCGCUAAAUCUACCAUAAAGACACAAGUCACAAACUAGGUGAAGAUAAUUGCAAAUUAUAUAAUUGACAAAAACUCAUACCUAAUAUACAAAAAUAUUUCAUACAAAAAAAAAACGAAAAGAGAAAUCCAAUAGACAAAUGAAGAAAGCAUGAGAACAAGUACUUCAUAAAAGAGAAACUUGAAUGUCCAAUAAACAGGAAAAAAAUGUUUGCCUCAUUAUUAAUCAGGAAAUUCAUAUUAAACUACAAUAAGAAAUUUAUAUUCCCACCACACUGGCAAAUACAAAGUGUGAUCAUACCUGGGGUUAAGAAUGUGCGUCUUAAGCACUUACUGGUGAGAAUGUAAAUUGGUUCAACUACUUUGGAGACUCACGUGACAUUACUUAGUAAAUUUAAAUGUGUGUUCAUCCUAAGAUCCAGUGAUAAUACUUCUAGAUAUUUAAAGUAGAGAAAAUCUUACACAUAUGCACAAGAAGAUAAGUGUGAGGAUAUUCAUAACAGUCCUAACAUGAAAAUAACUCCAGUAUUUAUCAUCAGUAGAAUUCAUAAUUAAUUGUGUUUAUAUGAUACUGCAAUAAAAAGAUCUGUAGCUACAUGCAGCAACAUGGAUGAAUUUUACAGACAAUUGUGCAAAAUAAGCAGGCUACAAAAGAAUAAUACUACAUGAUUUCAUUUAAAUAAAAUUAAAAGACCAGACAAAGCUAAGCAAUGUAUUUUUAGGGUGUACGUGGCAUGAUUAUGAAGGAAGGACAUCAAAAUCAGGAUAGUGGCUUACCUUCGUGAGGGAGGAAGGGUAUGUGACUGGAAGAGGGCUACGCAGGAAGUUUCUAAGGUUUUGGCAAUAUUUCCUUCACACUAAAAAUGUGUUUACCCAUGUGUUUGCUUUAUUAUCUUUAUCCUUUAAAAUACACAUGUGUUUUGUUUCCAUAGUUAUUUGUUUUACAAUAAAAAUACAAUAACGUAGUCCCAGCUACCUGGGAAGCUGAGGCAGGAGGAUCAUUUGAACACUGGAAUUCAAGGUCAGCCUGGACAAUAUAGCAAGAGCCUGUCUCUAAAAAAUAAAUAAAUAAUAAAUUUAAAAGUUUCAAUGUGAUAAGGUAUGAAGAACUUAACAACGGCAUGGUGCAUAGAAAAUAUUCAAUAAAUGUUUAUUAUUGUUUUGUUAUUAAUAUCAAAAUGUUUACAUCUAGUUAUAGCUGCAGCCCAUACAUUUUUCAGGUACUGCUAUUAUUUAGCUUGAAGUGUUUAACAAAUUUCCCUCAUGCUUUAAAACAAGUAUUAUUUAGUAGACUAUUUUAGUUUUCAGGCAUAUAAGAUUGUUCAAUCGAUCUCUCUUUUUGUCUUAUAAUAGUGCUGCAUUAGACUCAGAAGAUGUAGUCUGUAUGAAGGUAAUUUUUCUGACAGUUAUUGAAUAAAUUUAUUUGUAGCUUAAAAAAAGAAAAUGUAUUUAGAUGAAUAAAAAAUACCUUUGUUUAAAUUCCUGCAGUGAAAAUAAUUUCGGUACUGCAAUUCUGUAACUCUCUACUCUUCCUUUCUCUAUUACAGUCUUGAUUUUGAUAUCUCUAUUUUUGAAAACCCAAGCCUUCUUAGUAUUGGAACCAUAAUAAUAUUACAGAAUAGACUAUGAUUUUGUGUUUAUAUGUAUUGUUUAGUAUUAAUUUAUACCACCACCAGCAGUGUAAGAGGAUGCCUGUUUCCUUGUCCCCUGGUGAGCAGCAUUGGAUAAUAUUUAAAAAUAAUUUUUGGCAAUUGGAUUUUUUUUCUGUUACAUUUAUUCCUUUACUUGUUAGUAAACUUUAAUUUCUUGAAUAUAUGUAUAUAUUGUCCAAUUUUCAUUCUAUGUGCAUAUUUAUGUCCUUUACUAAUUUUCUAUUGUGAGAGUAGUGUUUUUGUUUUGUGUUUUUUUCAAAAAUUAAUUUGUAAAACCAGCUUAUAUAUUUAGGAUGGUAUCAUUCCUUGUUGCAAUUUUCUUCUCCCCAGUUUGGAACUGGCUUUAAAAUUUCAACUUAUUCUUUUUUACCUAUUGUCUUUUCUUCCUCUUCUUCAGGAGCAAACAUUCCCAGUCUUUUCUUCUUAUUUCAUGUAGAGCAGUUUAGUCUUCUUUUAUUGCAGGGGGAAGAUGGUCAUUUGGCAGUGAUGAUGUGGCCCCGAUUGCAGAAUUGAGUUGGAGGCCGAAGCAUGUGAGCUCUGAUCCUUGCCAGUUCCGGGACAUUUGGAAAUGUCUGGAGAUAUUUUUGUUGGCACAACUGGGAGGAGACUGCUACUGGCAUCUAGUACGUUAGAGACCAAGGAUUCUACUGAACAUUCUGAAAUGCACAGCCACCUUUCCUGCUGCAUGUGAGAGCUUUUCAGAAGAAGGAAGCUGGCGCAUAACCAGAAGCAAAGUUGAAAAAUGGAGAGAGAUGAGCUCUGAUGACACUGUGUGAGAGCCUCAGGCAGGUCCUGCAGGAGGUAUUCCAGAAGAGGGCAUUGUUAUUAUAGGAGAUGACCCUGCCAUGUUACUGCUGCUGCGCACCUCACCAUCAGAUUGGAUGUGAAGGUGGAAGACAGUGAUAUUGGUGAUUCUGACCCUGUGUAGGCCUAGAGUAAUGUGUGUAUUUGUGUCUUAAUUUUUAGCAAAAUUUAAAAAUAAAAAUAAUUUAAAAUUAGAAGAAAGCUUAUAAAGAUACAAAGAAAAAAGUGUUUUUGUACAGCAAGUGCAAAUGUUUAUAAACUCCGUAAUAGUGUAUAUAAUGUCCUAGGCCUUCGCAUUUACUCACCACUCGCUGACUCAGUCAGAGCAACUUCUAGUCCUGCAAGCUCCAUUUAUAGUAAGUACCCUAUACAGGUGUACCAUUGUUUAUCUUUUAUACUAUAUUUUUACCAUACUUUUUCUAUAUUUAGAUAUGUUUAAAUACACAAAUAUUUAUCGUGUUACAGUUGCCUACAGUAUUCAAUACAAUAAAUGCUGUGCAGGUUUGUAGCCUAGGAGAAAUAGGCAAUAGGCAAUAUCAUAUAGCCUAGGUGUGUGGUAGGCUAUGCCAUCUAGGUUUGUGUAAGUACACUCUUGUACAACAACAACAUUGCUUGAUGCAUUUCUCAGAAUAUAUCCUUGUUAUUAAGCAAUGCAUAACUGUAUUUGGUAAAACACAAAGAUAUUCCACAUAUUUUAUUAUGCUAUUAAGCAUCGUUUGAAAUAAUUUAUUUCAGUUAUAACUUGUUUAUUCUUUCACAUGAACAUUGAAAUCAUUGAGUUUACUUCUUAAGCAUUUCAUUGGUAUCUUCAUUUAAAUUGCCUUAUGUUUAUGUUAUUAAACAUACUAAUAAACAGGUUUUCUUUUUUGGGCCUCAGUGAAGUUUGGUAGUUUUCAUUAUAUAAGACGUUUUUCAUUUCAUGUUAGGAUGUUUCUUAUGUAUUGCAUGUUUCUGAUUAUUGUUAAAGAUGGGACUUUUUUCCUGUUAAAUUUCUUAGGUGAUUACUGUUGAGAUCUAUGUCUAUAUCUAUUAUCUGUAUCGAUGUCAAUAUCUGUGUCUAUAUUGCUGAUUUUUGUGUCUUUUUAAACUAGUUAUCUUACUGACUUCUACUAGUACAUUUUCACUUUUUUUACUCAGGUUUUUCUGUAUAGAGAAGAAUCACUUGAAAAUAGAGAGACAUUUGUCCCCAUUUAACAAUAAUUUAUUGUAUAUUUUAAAAUAACUGAACAAAUGGAAUUGGAAUGUUUCUAACACAAAGAAAUGAUAAAUACUUGAGGUGAUAGCUAUCCCAAUUAUCCUGAUUUGAUCAUUAGACAUUGUAUGCUUGUAUCAGUAUAUCACAUGCACUACAUAAAUGUGUGUAACUAUUAUGUGUCCAUAAUAAUUAAUAAAAAACCAUCAAUUAAAAAAUUAUUGUCCUUUAUUACAUUGGCUAUAACUUACAGAAAAAUGCAAAAGAGUAAUGAGCACACUGCUCUUCUUCCUGAAUUUAAUGAGAAUGCACUCUGUAUUUUAUCAUUAACCAUAAUAUUGGCUAUCACUAUGCAAUAACUAUUCUCUAUUAGAUUAAGGAAGUUUUCUUCUAUUUUCAGGCGGCUUUUGUAUUUAUUUUAAUAUUGCUUUCAUUUUAAUUAUUUUUAAUCUUUGCAAUUAUUGAAAUAAUUAUUUUUAAUCUUCAGAGGUAUUGAUGUGACUAAUUAAUUGACUGGUGUUUUUAGCAUGCUAGCGGAUUAGCAUGUUAUUUAUAUUAAUAGUGAGAUUAGUUUGUGAUUUCCUUUUUUGUGCUGUAUUUAUGUGUGGGCUUUGGUAUUAGAGUAUUGGUGGUUUGGGAAAAUGAAUUGGAAGUGUGCCAUCUUUUUCUCUGCUCUGGAACAAUUUAAAUUGCAUGUUAAUUAUCUUUCCUUGAAGCUUCGAUAGGACUCACUUGUAAAAUUGUCUGGACAUGAUACAGCUUUUGGAAUUAUUUCUUAGGCAAAAAUUUCAACUUCUCCCAUGGUUAUUGAUAUCCAGAUGAACUAUUUUCUCAAGUCAUUUAAGUUUAUGUGUUUUUAGAAAAUCACGUGUCUCAUCCUUAUUUUCAGGAUUUUUAGCUUAGAUUACUGUGUUUAAAUUUCUUACACCAUUAUAACAUACUUCUGUAUCUGUGAAUAAAGCCUAAUUCUUGCUUUUAA